GAUGAACGCUGGCGGCGUGCCUAAUACAUGCAAGUCGAGCGAACAGACGAUGAUCUUGCUCCUCUUACGUUAGCGGCGCACGUGUGUGUAACACGUGUAUAACCUCCCUAUCAUACUGGGAUAACUUCGGGAAUCCGGAUCUAAUACCGUAUAAUAUAUUGAACCUCAUUGUUCAAUAGUUAAUUUCGGUUUUUCUGUCUCUUAUAGAUUGAUCCGCGCCGCCUUAGCUAGUUGGUAAGGUAACGGCUUACCAAGGCAACGAUGCGUAGCCGACCUGAGAGGGUGAUCGGCAACACGGGAAGUGAGACACGGUCCAGACUCCUACGGGAGGCAGCAGUAGGGAAUGUGCCGCAAUGGGCGAAAGCAUGACGGAGCAACGCGGCGUGAGAGAUGAAGGUCUUCGGAGCGUAAAACUCUGUUAUUAGGGAAGAACAAAUGUGUAAGUAACUAUGCACGUCUUGACGGUACCUAAUCAGAAAGCCACGGCUAACUACGUG
rnacentral:rRNA from 1 species